rnacentral:rRNA from 1 species
GACGAACGCUGGCGGCGUGCUUAACACAUGCAAGUCGAACGAGAGCGUAGAGAAAGCUUGCUUUUUCUACAAUCUAGUGGCAAACGGGUGAGUAACGCGUAAACAACCUGCCCUACGGAUGGGGACAGCAGCUGGAAACGGCUGCUAAUACCGAAUACGUUCCGAAAGUCGCAUGACUAUCGGAAGAAAGGAUGGCCUCUAUUUAUAAGCUAUCGCCGGAGGAGGGGUUUGCGUCUGAUUAGCUAGUUGGAGGGGUAACGGCCCACCAAGGCGACGAUCAGUAGCCGGUCUGAGAGGAUGAACGGCCACAUUGGAACUGAGACACGGUCCAGACUCCUACGGGAGGCAGCAGUGGGGAAUCUUCCGCAAUGGGCGAAAGCCUGACGGAGCAACGCCGCGUGAGUGAAGACGGCCUUCGGGUUGUAAAGCUCUGUUAUACGGGACGAAUAAUCUUGUGGUUAAUACCCAUGAGAAGUGACGGUACCGUAAGAGAAAGCCACGGCUAACUACGUG